UAGCGAUUUCCCAAGUAGUGGUGAGCGAACGGGAAACAGCCUAAACCAGAGGUUUUUACUUCUGGGGUCGUGGGACAGUCAAUCAACGUAUCUUCAAGCUAGACAAAGCAGUUGAAAGCUGCACCAGAGAAGGUGAAAGUCCUGUAGUCGAAAGUAGAAAAGAGCGUGACUGUAUCCCGAGUAGCACGGGGCCCGUGAAAUCCCGUGUGAAUCAGCGAGGACCAUCUCGUAAGGCUAAAUACUACUGUGUGACCGAUAGUGAACCAGUACCGCGAGGGAAAGGUGAAAAGAACCCCGG
rnacentral:rRNA from 1 species